rnacentral:rRNA from 1 species
CGGCGGACGGGUGAGUAACACGUGGAUAACCUACCUAUAAGACUGGGAUAACUACGGGAAACCGGAGCUAAUACCGGAUAAUAUAUUUAACCGCAUGGUUCAAUAGUGAAAGACGGUUUUGCUGUCACUUAUAGAUGGAUCCGCGCCGCAUUAGCUAGUUGGUAAGGUAACGGCUUACCAAGGCAACGAUGCGUAGCCGACCUGAGAGGGUGAUCGGCCACACUGGAACUGAGACACGGUCCAG